CCUUUUUAAUGAGUUGUGGUGCUGCUGAUUCUGCGCUUGUUUCGGGCAAAAGGGUUGAUGAACCACUCUGGUUUGUAGGAAAAAAGUAUGUAUCCAAUCACCCAUCCAAAGGCAAAACCAGGUAUGACUCCUAUUACAACUGCUAUCCAACUCAACACCUCUUCCUCUUCUUCUUCUUCCUCUGAAUCCAACGUUUCAUGCGGUGUUGGCGUGUGAAUAUCUCUGCAAAUUUCGUCAAGAGAAGGGCCAGAAAGUCCCGGAUUACCGUCAAAGGAAGUGCAGUUCAGCCUUUGAAACUGAGUGCCUCCUGGUACUAGACCUGUAAGCUGGUUAUGAGAGAAGUUCAUGUACGAAAGGAAUGAGAGGCUCCCUAGCUCUUCCGGAAUUUCUCCUGAAAGCUGGUUUUGGGAAACGUCCAGUGACUCAAGAGCUGUCAGGUUUCCCAUAGAUGAAGGGAUGUGGCCGGUGAAAGCAUUGUUGGACAAGUUGAGCACAAGAAGCUCUUUCAAUAGACCAAUGGACCUUGGGAUCUCUCCUUCAAAUUUGUUUCCUGAAAAGUCGAGUGCUGUGUAGAUCUUCAGGAUACGUACUAGCUCCAUCUCUAAACCUUUAUUCACCAACACCGUUGAAUCUUGGUAAAAGUAAUCUCUCAUGUACAUUUCAUGUGGCUGAUCAUAAGUUGUACCAAGUGAUGACAUAGCACUCCACUUCACAAAGUAGUCUGAUGGCAAAGUUCCAUUGAAGUGAUUGUGCGAUAUGUCGACGAUUCGCAACUUAGAGAACGAAGUUUGAUGUAUCGGUCCAGCGAAGGCGUUGGAGCGUAACACAAGAACUUUUAGUUAGGGCUGGGCAAAUAAACCGAACCCGAAAACCCGAACCGAAUCCGAUCCGAUAAAAAUGAAUCCGAACCGAUCCGAACCCGAUGUAAAUACCGAAUGGGUCUUGUUUUGUGGUAUUUUGGGUUAUGAGUAUUAUCCGAACCGAACCCGAAUCUAAAUGGAUAUCCGAUAGAACCCGAAACAUUCAAAACCUCGAAAAGAUCUUGUACCAAACAUGAUCUCAAUUCCUAAUAUGUAUCCAAAAUACACUAAGAAAUAUUGAACAUCUAAAAUACUUAUCUAUUACAUGAAGGUUGUUGGUUCUAUUACAUGAAGGUUGAUGGAUAAAGAUGGCCGUUGAAUCUUGAAGUAUUUAGAUUUUGAUUUUGUUUUCGGUAACAAUGUUUCAUUUCAUGAGAACUUGGUUUUCGUUUUAUGUUUUUAUUUAUUUAGUUUUCUUUUAUGUUCCUUAUUUUUGAAUCGAUUUUACUUAAGUUUUGGUUAUAAAAUAGGUACAAAUCAGAUAUUUUAAAACUAAAGAACCGAUUUUAGUCAUGUUUUGGUUAUAAAAUAGGUAAAAAUCAAGUACUUUUAAACCGAAAAACCGAUUGGGACCCGAACCCGAAAAUAUAUUGGGUUGUACCGGUUCUUUGAAGAUUUACUAACCCCGACCCGAACCCGAUAGAACCCGAACCGGUCCCGAACCGAACUUUCAUAUAAUCCGAAUGGAGCUGAUUUUGAUAAACCCGAAAAACCGAAACCCGAUUGGAUAAAACCGAAACCCGAUUGGGACCCCGAAUGCCCAGGCCUACUUUUAGUUGUGGUAGAUAACUCAGCCAGUACGGAAACGUGUCAUUGAUAAUGUUGCUUUCCACAUUCAAAACUUCAAGACUAGUAAAAUGAAUCAAAGUUCUUGGAAGCUUUCCCGUCAGUUGGUUAUGACCGACGUCAAGCGUUAUUAAGCUUUCAAAUAUAUUCUCAGGAAGACCUCCAUGAAGACGAUUCUGACGAAGGUUUAGAACUUCAAGAGAACGGUUGAGAUUACCCAGACAACGAGGGAUUAAACCACUGCAGUUGUUGUUUGAUAAAUCAAGAAUGUAUACAGAGCGCAAAUCACAUAUGAAAGAGGGAAUCUCUCCCGUAAAAUUGUUGUUGGAGGCAAGGAAGAUUAGGCUAGAUAGCCUUGAAACUAAAACUGUUGUUAAGUUUCCGAAGCCAGUGAAAGUGUUGUUGGAAAGAUUCAGGUAAGUAAGAUUUGGUAGCGUCCAUAACCAGCCAGGCACUUGUCCUUUGAUUUUAUUGUUUGAAAUGUCUAGACUCUCCAAAUUUUUCAAUCUUGCAAACUCCGGAAACUCGGUGAUACCACAGCCUGACAAUUGCAACUCAGGCAACAAAGAUGGAUCUGAAACUGGACUCUUGUUUGUGAAUGAAACAAGGUUGCCUGAGAGAACCAACACACGGAGCCUCUUAAAAUAUGACAAGAAAUCAUUCAAGUCAAUGGUAGUGGUCGUGUUCAAAUGGGUUAGGUGAAGAUCUUCGAGCCACUUGAGAUGCGAGAAGAUAUUAAAGUCAAUUGGACCUUGUGUCUUGUAAUUGGAAAGGUGAAGUUCUACAAGGUUGGUAAAUUUUGAUAUCGUGGCUGGGAUUGGCCCUCUCAAGUUGUUAUUGCCAACGUAUAACAGUCCUAGCUGAGGUGGUGAAGAUAUAUUCCCAAGGUCAAGAAUACCAUUGAAUCGGUUAUCAGACAAUCUAACAUAUUCAAUAGAAGGAAUGGUGAAGAGAGAAGAAGGCAGGGUUCCAGUGAAAGCGUUGUUACUUCCAUCAAAGGUCGUCAAUUUGGAUAGUGAAGUGAUGUUAUGAGGAAUUGUUCCUGUGAACUGAUUGUAAUAGAGUCCUAAAUAUGACAACUUUGUCAAAUUCAGUAGUUCAAUGGGAAAGCUUCCAUUGAGCCUAUUGAGACCAACAUUUAAGCUGGUCAACUGGUUUAGAUUGCCAAAAGAAGAUGGGAUUUCUCCAACAAUCUCGUUCCCAGAAAGGUCAAGAUAAGUGAGGUUAUAAAGAUUUCCAAUAGAAGAUGGAAUCUUACCCGAAAUUUGAUUCAAAUGAAGGUUAAGAUAGGUGAGAUGAGAAAGGUUUCCAAUUGAAGAUGGAAUCGGACCAGAAAAACUAUUAGAUGAAAGAUCGAGAAAGGUGAGAUUCGAAAGGUCUAUAAUCGAAGAAAAAAUGAACUCGCUGAACUGAUUAAGUGAAAGGUCGAGAGAGGUGAUAUGAGAAAGGUUUUUAAUUGAAGACAUGAUUUGACCACUAAAACGAUUUCUUGAAAGGUCUAGGGUGGUUAGAGAAUGAAGGUUUUGAAGACUGCUAUUGGAAUGAAACCGGCCACCUAGGUAGCUGCAACUAAGGUCUAGCUCGAUCACUUCACCGGACUUGACGUUGCACGUGAUUGUAACGUCCCGACCCGCCCACGGCUAAUAGGCCACCCACGCCCGCUCUCUCGGCCCGUGGGCCCCAUCCCGUCUGACGGUCGGUCCGUUAAUUUUCCAAAGGCUCGAAAUCAUUGUUUACUGACCCUGCAAUCACCACCCGACCUUUUCCCAUGCUUUGGCCUCACUCGCACGCUAUCGCGAAUCACUUCCCGAUAGGUCACCCAUCCUUCCACUACUCCAGCUCAAGCACGCUUAACUCUGGAGUUCUUUCAGGAUGUGUUCCGGAAAAGGUAAGUCAACUUUGGUGACAUAGGUAGCCAAAUCAAUUAUCUUAAGCCUUUUUCACAUAUCACAACUCGGGAUGUUACAAUUCACCCCAUCUCAAAGAACGCAACGUCCUCGUUGCGCCCCAUGACAGGUCUUAAGACGCCUCUCAGGUCAGAACUGAGACGGCUAACCAGCUCUGAUACCACUUAUAACGCCCCGACCCGCCCACGGCUAAUGGGCCACCCACGCCCGCUCUCUCGGCCCGUGGGCCCCAUCCCGUCUGACGGUCGGUCCGUUAAUUUUCCAAAGGCUCGAAAUCAUUGUUUACUGACCCUGCAAUCACCACCCGACCUUUUCCCAUGCUUUGGCCUCACUCGCACGCUAUCGCGAAUCACUUCCCGAUAGGUCACCCAUCCUUCCACUACUCCAGCUCAAGCAUGCUUAACUCUGGAGUUCUUUCAGGAUGUGUUCCGGAAAAGGUAAGUCAACUUUGGUGACAUAGGUAGCCAAAUCAAUUCUCUUAAGCCUUUUUCACAUAUCACAACUCGGGAUGUUACAAUUUCCCACCAAAGGUUAUCGGAAUGGGAAACCUGAAAGAACUCCAGAGUUAAGCGUGCUUGAGCUGGAGUAGUGGAAGGAUGGGUGACCUAUCGGGAAGUGAUUCGCGAUAGCGUGUGAGUGAGGCCAAAGCACGGGAAAAGGUCGGGUGGUGAUUGCAGGGUCAGUAAACAAUGAUUUCGGGUCUUAGAAAAUUAACGGACUGACCGUCAGACGGGAUGGGGCCCACGGGCCGAGUGAGCGGGCGUGGGUGGCCCAUUAGCCGUGGGCGGGUCGGGGCGUUAUAAGUGGUAGGGAUUGUCGGAGUAGGCCAUUUGGUGCACGGGGAGUAGCACCAGCAGCACCAGCAGGACAGGCAGCACCAGCAGGACAGGCAGCACCAGCAGCACAGCCAGCACCAGUAGCACAGGGAGCGCAGGCAGCACCAGCUGCACCAUACGCACCAGGAGCUUGCUUCACUUGUGGCCAGUUUGGCCAUAUCUCCAGGUUUUGCCCGACUAAAGGGCCUGGGGCCAAGCGUCAAGCCAUCACCCCGCGUGUUUAUGCUCUAGGAGAGGCCAAUGGAGCUGAGCCGAUAGCCGGUAUGUAUCCUUAUCAUUUCUUUUUUUUUUUUUUGAGUAAUUGUGUUUUGGUGGAUAUCUAGUUAGAAAAAAAAAAAAAAGUCGACUUUUUUUGUGACAACCCGCCCCGUGGGAACUACCCGCCCCUUGGGCCCCAGGCUCACAGCGCUGCAGCGCACCGACCCCAACCCCUCAAUUAUGAGUUCUCUCUAACUCCAUAAUUAGGUUGUUGGUGAGCCUCGAACCCAGGACCUCACCCUUUAACAGCAUUCCCACAGGACAAGCUGUCACCAAUUGAUCUGCAGAUCAAUUGGUGACAGCUUGUCCUGUGGGAAUGCUGUUAAAGGGUGAGGUCCUGGGUUCGAGGCUCACCAACAACCUAAUUAUGGAGUUAGAGAGAACUCAUAAUAGAGGGGUUGGGGUCGGUGCGCUGCAGCGCUGUGAGCCUGGGGCCCAAGGGGCGGGUAGUUCCCGUGCUUUGGCCUCACUCACACGCUAUCGCGAAUCACUUCCCGAUAGGUCACCCAUCCUUCCACUACUCCAGCUCAAGCACGCUUAACUCUGGAGUUCUUUCAGGAUGUGCUCCGGGUUGUUACAAUUUCAGCAUGGGAAAAGGUCGGGUGGUGAUUGCAGGGUCAGUAAACAAUGAUUUCGAGCCUUUGGAAAAUUAACGGACCGACCGUCAGACGGGAUGGGGCCCACGGGCCGAGAGAGCGGGCGUGGGUGGCCUAUUAGCCGUGGGCGGGUCGGGACGUUACAAGUGGUAUCAGAGCUGGUUAGCCGUCUCAGUUCCGACCUGAGAGGCGUCUUGAGACCUGUCGGGGGCGCAACGAGGACGUUGCGUUCUUUGAGAGGGGGUGAAUUGUAACAUCCCGAGUUGUGAUAUGUGAAAAAGGCUUAAGAGAAUUGAUUUGGCUACCUAUGUCACCAAAGUUGACUUACCUUUUCCGGAACACAUCCUGAAAGAAUUCCAGAGUUAAGCGUGCUUGAGCUGGAGUAGUGGAAGGAUGGGUGACCUAUCGGGAAGUGAUUCGCGAUAGCGUGCGAGUGAGGCCAAAGCAUGGGAAAAGGUCGGGUGGUGAUUGCAGGGUCAGUAAACAAUGAUUUCGAGCCUUUGGAAAAUUAACGGACCGACCGUCAGACGGGAUGGGGCCCACGGGCCGAGAGAGCGGGCGUGGGUGGCCCAUUAGCCGUGGGCGGGUCGGGGCGUUAUAGUGAUACCCUCCCAAGUACAACAAUCGCUGCUAUUCCGCCAUGAUUCCGUUUUCGGAUGACGCUUUACUAUAUCAUCAUCAAAAUAACAAUCAUAAGCAAAGGAAGAGUUUAGAACCUCAAACUCGUUCUUCAACAGAAGAAGUGCAUCCCUUUGAUCCGGACGACACAAGUGCGUAGUUGGAACCGCAGACACGUCCCCAUAACUGUAGCCGAAUAAAAAAAGUAUAGAAAGAGUAAGAGAAAUGGUACUCGUUAAGUUCCAAAAGCCUUUCAUUCUUCUUUAAGCUUAUUUAACUUUCUUGAAUAUCAAAAACUGAAAGAGCAAAAAGAAAAGGGAAAUUGGUGAUGAGUAACAUGCUUCCAUGGCCAUUUCUUUAUAUACACAAUAAUAGACUCUGUAUUUACUCCACACAAAACAAAAUCCACAGAGAAAAAUACAUUAUUCGUCACGUCGAAAGCAAAAUCUUUGUGUCGGAUAGUCAAUUUUCUACACAUAUUGGUCCCCUACACUAAUUACAUGAAUUUUCAAAAAAAAAAGAAUUGUCUAAACCAAAGAAGACGUAAUUUAGGUUUAUAUUUGGAUUUAAACUAAGAGCACCCGCAAUGGGAAUCUUUAAGGAUGAGUCCUUAGGAAAAAAAUAAUUAAAUAAUCGGUGAAUCCCACCAAAAGUUAAGGAUUCAAUCUUUAAAAUUCCUAAAUAAGGACUCUUUUUUAGUGAAUCCUUGCACUAUUUGCGGGUCCCGACGACAUGUGGCGAUUCGCGAUUGGUUGAUAUUUAUUUUUUUUUAUCUAAAAAAAUAAAAUAAAUAAUAAUACUUAAAAAAUCAAAAUAUAUUUUUUCUAAAGAUUCGCCUUUGAGUAACACUAUUGUGGGUGCUCUAACGUAUACUACGACCCAUGCAUAUUGACCCAAAAGUACUAACGUUUACGAUUACGAGACCCAUGCAUAUUUGCAUAUAAUGUAGUCUUUCGAUUUGAUAGUACAAGUUUUAUCUUUUUUACUUAUUCUAUUUAAAAAUUCAAGAUUUUAUGACAUUCCUUGCUUUAAAAAAAGAACUAAUUUAACUACUAAACUAGCGUAAUUUUGAUAGAAUUUCAAAAUAAGAAUCAUGCAUCUCCUAUAUUAAUAAGAAGAAAACAAACAUCAACCUUUUCAAAAAAAAUCAACGGCGAACGGUCUUAUUUUUAUUUUUGGUUUAUUCCUCGUGACUUCCAAAAUGAAAAAUAUAUGCAAAAUGACAAAAAGAUUAAACUCUUUACUAAGAAUCAAUCAAAAUGAACAAAAAUAUCAAUCUGCAUGAGAACAUUCUUCAUAACAGAAAAAUCAACUCUUCGUCGUGAAUGUACCGGCGAUCGAGCCAUAUGGCCCAUAUCAUAGUGAGUACAUUCUUCAACUAAUAUUCCUCAGGGCGAGAUCGUCAGGAAGAAACCAAGAUUUUACUCGAUCGCUUUCUUUUUGUUUCUUCAAUAUAUGGCUGUAGUAACCAAAAACAAAUAAAUAAAUGUUGAUGAACCAAUCAGUUUCCGCAUUUUUUUCUUUCUCACGUCAAUAAUAACAAGUUUUGGUGAUAAUCAUCUCACUUUCAUUAGAUAAAAUAUACAGAAAAGAGACAACUAGUGAUGAGAAACCAAAACUUCCAUACGGAAGAGGCUCGUUCAGAUUUUCUUAUUAUGUUUUUCCCCACUUUCUAGAUUAAUGUAAUUUUGUAAUAUACAUUAUUAAUCGUUUCAUAUAUAGUUUCAAGCAACCUACGAGAGACUUCCAAGUCCACAAGAAGGUUAGGGGAAUCAUCUACCUUCAUCCAUGAACCAUCUUCACCACGCGGUUGAACCACGAAGCUGACUCCUUUCACGUCAGAAUCUACCACCAGCUCCGAAACGUAAUAGGCUGGUACGUGAGACACUCCUAGGAACACUCUCUCGCUUCUUGGUUUCUCCAGAACCUUUCUUGAUCUUAGUACAUCAGUUGACUUCACAUUCUCUGCAUACACAUUGUACACUGGGAGAACAGAGUCUUCAAGCUGUGUCUGUCUCCAUUCUAGCUUAACCUUAAGGAUCCUAGAACCGGAUUUACCCAGUACAAGCUCUAAGUUAUGAGCCUCGAUUACCCAUGAUGUCGCUGGAGGUAAGGAAACGAGGUUUUGCUGGAGUAGCUGAACAUGAUGAUCUUUGAUUGAGAUGUGAUCCAUGAUUCCCUCCUCCGUUAUAAGAUGCCUCUCUAGUACUAAACAAAUUCAUGUGCUCACCGUUAUACGUUUGCAAACAAAUAGUGAGCUGAAUGAUAUCAGUGUUGUCUUCCUUGAACUCUAGGAUUGGCUAACAUUAAUAACACAACAAAGGCACCCAUCAGAUGAGAGAAGAGACAAAAUAUUAUAUGCGCAGUUAAAGCGAGGACGAUAAGAUGGUUGAACCUGAAGACUUUGGCAAGAAAUGUUGUACCAUGGAGCAUCAGAUAACUGGCGACCCUCGAGUGAAACAUGGUAACCAAAGCUCUGGAUAAACGAGAAAAGAUAUUUUCAGAACAUAACUUAACAUAAAUCAUCGCCAAGACAGUCGAUGUAUACUUUACCUGAUUGAAGUCAGAGUAAAAAGGCAAGACUUGUGGAUAUGUUUGGACUACUCCCCAUGACUUCUCAACAAGUGACCACCAUCUGAAGGGAAAACGAAUGAACGAUAAUAAGAUGACAAAGAAAUGCCAAUUUAUUUUACAAGCAAACAGACAAAAGAAGUAAUACUUAUUCUGAGCUGUAUGAAAAUUAGGAGGCUGUGCAGUCUCAUAUACCCAUCCAGGAGCGAAAAUGGCAGCUGAUACAUUGUUUCUCUUCAGCAAAUCAAGAGCAGUAUUAACCUAUAAUAUAUAGAUUAAUGAGACAAUGAUUGAAUCUUUAAGCUUCUGAGAUUUCAGAUUGUUGAUUUGGAACCAUAUCUUUGAGCAUCUACUCAAUUGAGUUGAAUUGUGUUGUUGUUGUACAGGGAAGAAGUUGUAGAGAUUAGAUUGUGGAGAAGCUAUGGUAGAGCAAUGGUUGGAUCUGAGAAGAGAGCUCAGCUCAUGGAGAUUGGAGAAACUGUUAUUAUUCUUACUCACUAGGUUUCAAGUUAGAGUAAUGCUUUUUUUUUUUGUGUUUACUUAUCUUAUUUAGGGUACAUUGGUAGCAAAGCAGAUUGGUGAAAGAAACUCUUGUAGUAAUCUGACAGACAUAUCAACAUGUACUUUUGUCAAGUGUUUAAUGUAUUAUCGUUUGUGUAUCAAUGCCUGCAGUUCCAAAUAGAGUUUUUUUCUCCUUUUUUGUUAUCAGCAAUUAGUCUUUUGCGUAAUCAGGUCUCAAAGUUCUCUUUCCAGGACAAUGUACAUCAGAGACAUUCAUGUUCUUCCAUAAUUUACGUUUGGAAGACCAAACCCACCAAGCUAUUGUUUGGCUGUUUGCUUAUAUGACUUUGCAUCAAUCUUUAUCGUGUUGAAGCUCACGCAUCUUCUUCUGAAGAAGAUUGUUUCUGUAGAUUAAUAAAGAAGGGAACAGAAUGGGGGCAAGGCAUGGGCCUAUUCAUCAUUUGUGUUGGCUUGAUCUUUUCAUUGCUACUUACAUGAUUGGCUCGUGGGUUCGAGUCCAAGCUCGUAGGUCACACACAUCAUGAUCAUGUAGUGGCUUAUCUUUGAGAUUUUGGUAUUGAGCUUUAAGUAUAAUGUUGAAAAAUCAAAGGAUAACGUACCAGAGGGAUUGUGAAAGUGACCAAUCAGUUGGCUGUUUCUUUUUUGAGAUCGUGGACACCAAAACAAAGAGAAGCAAGACUUGGAUUCGAUUAAAAAGUCAGUCAAGAAAAAUAUAAAAAGAAAGAUCCAAGAGGAAUUUUCUUAUAAAAUGGAUAAUGAUCGUUAAACCCAAAUUUUAGUUGAGUAUAUAUAUAUUUAGUUAUUGUUAAUUGUUAAUUUAGAUUAUACAUAUUUAAUCAAACAAUCAAAGGUUGAAAUAGAAACAAGAGAGUGUGGACAUGAAGAAAACAAGACCCCUUUAGGCCUUUACUAGCCAUUUCUCUUCCUCUUCUACUCAUCAUUCAUUAUCAAUGAGAAUAUUACCAAUCACAAGAUAAAUCAACGCAAACUUUUUUUUUUUUUUUUUGUAUUGUCACAUUCGAAAAUCAUAAGCUUAAAACCUUUUGAACUUUGUAUAUACACAAAAUGGAAUCUUGAUAAUUAUAUUUGCAAAGUUUAUAGUUUCUAUGAGUUAAUGUGUCUCAUUGAUAUGAACAAUCGAAAUAUCCAUAUAUAAUAUGUACAUCCUUUUCUAAAGCGCUGUGUAACUGUGUUGAUUAUAGCUUUUAUCUGGAUCAUCUGUUCAUUGCUCAUCUCACGUCUAAACAGUUGAUGUUAAGAUUCACAAGAGGGGAAAAGACGACACAUCUUUGACUGUGCUUGUAAUUUUCAGCGUAAGAAACAUAGUUGUUGUUCAAUUACAGAGAAACAAAGAAAUUUGCUAAAACGUAAAAAAAAAUAGAGAUAGAGAAAAAACACACCAAGCUAAACCAGAAACGAUAUCCCAAAUCUUAUUUGAAAUUAUGAUAGACAUAGUAAUUGCUUCGGAUUUCAUCUUUCAGAUUCCGCAGGUAGCUUAUAAAAGACCUGUACCAAAAAAAGAAAAGGUUAACUCAGGUGAUUUCACUAUUAAUAUUUUUGUUUCUUCAAAUGUUUGCUAACAAGUUGACUUAAAACUCUAGAAUAUAUUACCUCUUUAAUGAGUUGUGCUGCUGCUGAUUCUGCGCUUGUUUCGGGCAAAAGGGUCGAUGAACCACUCUGGUUUGUAGGAAAAGAGUAUGUAACCAAUCACCCAUCCAAAGGCAAUACCAGGUAUGACUCCUAUUACAGCUGCUAUCCAACUCAACACCUCUUCUUCUUCUUCAUCCUCUGAUUCCGGUGUUUCAUGCGGUGUUGGCAUGUGGAUAUCUCUGCAAUCUUCGUCAAGAGAAGGGCCAAAAAGUCCCGGAUUAUCCUCAA
rnacentral:lncRNA from 1 species